GCUUCCUUCAGCAGAACAUAUACUGACAUUGGAGCAACACACAGAAGAUUAGCGUGGCCCCUGGGCAAGGACAACAUGCAGAUUUGUGAAGAGGUCCAUGUUUUU